GACUCCGCUGCGCAACGGUAGCGCGUCUGACUCCAGAUCAGAAGGUUGCGUGUUCAAAUCACGUCGGGGUCA
rnacentral:tRNA from 1 species